GUCAAGGAGGAGUAAUAGAAAGAGAAUAUCAAAUACCAUACUACAAGAUUUUGUCAGUUAUAGGCAAUUUGUGGUGCAAUGACAGGGAAGUGACUCUGACAUCUUGAGCAUAGACCAUUUCUUAUAUUACAGUUCUUUUAGUUGAAUGUUGAAGUUAAACUAAAUUUCAUUUGUUGGUUACUUAAUACCAUAUUAUCUGUAGUUCUUUUGCCCUAAAAUAGUUAAAGGUUUCCUUUACAUUGUUUGAUUUUGUGAGAUAGAUAAUUGUAGUUCUAUCAUUUAGUGCUUUCAUUGACCAUGGCCGAUAAUACACGGAUGAAGACAAUGGACGCUGAGGUAAAAAAACUUUACAAGCUUAUGGAAGAAAUUGUCGAGACCCAUCAAAAUGAAAUUGCUCGAAUUAAUGAGGCCAACCAGUGUCGCUUCGAUGCAGUUCAACAGUCUUUAACUCAAGUUGUGCAACUUCAUCAAUCCAACCAUGCUUCUUCAUCCCUAAUGAGCACACCCAUGAUUCCAGAAGCAGAACAAGUUGCUAUUGUUGGGAUGCACAUGACUGGUUCCGCCAUUCCAUGGUUUCAAAUGACAUAAUGUGCGUUGUCGUCGAUUUCUUGGACACACUUGAAACGCUCCAUUGAGUUAGAGUUUGGAUCUUCAUUGUUCAAAUUACCUCGAGAAUCACUCUUCAAACUCCACCAACAAGGCACAAUUUUAGAUUACUAUUCAGAAUUCAUCACACUUGCAAAUCGCACCCAAAUUGAACCAGUGGAGGCGUUACACGAUUGUUUUAUUAGUGGGUUACACACGAAGAUUCGAUGAGAAGUAAAGGCUCAAUGCCCCUACUCUUUGAUGCGUGGGAUGAGUCUAGCUAAACUUUAUGAGGAUAAAUUCUCUUCUGCACCACUCUAGGACCCAAUACGUCUCGUAACACAACAUACAAACCACAUAUAAACCCACAAAUCAAACCACCCCCACGAUCUACAUUACCACCACUCCUUCCCACUCCGUCGUAGCAACUCGACCUCACAGAUGCGACGAGAGAAAGGGCUCUGUUUUUGGUGUGAUGAGAAAUUUACUCCCUCCCACAAGUGCCCUAAUAAGCAUUUUAUGCUUUACCAAUUGGAAGAAGUAAAAGAGGGCCCCGCCAUGCCUCCAGAAUUGCUCGUGAAUAGUGACCCAAAUGCUCAUAAUCUGCACCAGUGAGAACAAGAGGUCUUGGAGCACCACCUCUCCCUCAAUGCAAUGAAGGGGACACCAAGCUCGGGUAUUCAGGUAUUGAUUGAUAGAGGUAGCUCUGACAGUUUUAUUCAACCACGAAUUGCUAAAUUUUUGAACCUGCCGGUCCAACCUACUCCUGCUUUUCGAGUCAUGGUAGGAAAUUUUCAUGUUAUGAUUGUUGAGGGUCAUCUUCCCUUUCUAGACAUCUCAAUGCAAGGACAUUCUAUUAGAUUUCCAAAUGUUUAUGUUCUUACAAGUGUCGAUUAUGAUGCUUUGUUGAUUAAGUUUUUGCAUGAAGGGAAAUUUAUCACUAUUAAAGGCGAAGAGGCAAUUGGGCCGCAACAAGCUCAAUUUAACCACAUGAAAAGGCUUUUUCAUACAGAAGUUGUAGCAGAAGCCUUCUCUAUAAAACUCACACAACCAGAAGGUAAUGCCAGUUACCCUCUUGAGCUACCGUAGGACAUGCAUCCUAAAUUGGUGUUAUUAUUACAUAAAUAUGCACCAAUUUUUGACCCACCAUCCGAUCUCCCUCCAUAACGAGACCAUGAUCACUGUAUACUCUGAAGCUCAACCUGUCAAACUAAAGCCAUAUCGUUAUCCACAUAGCCAAAAGGAGAAAAUUGAGCUCAUGAUAUAACAAAUGUUAGAGGACGACAUCAUCAAUCAAGCAAGAGUCCUUUCUCCUCUCUAAUUUUACUCCUAAAAAAAGGAUGGAACUUGUUUUGCACUAACUAUCAAGCAUUAAAUGCCAUGACGGUGAAGGACGAUUUCCUAUACCUAUUGUUGAUGAAUUAUUUGACGAGUUGCAUGGCUCUAAAUAUUUUUCAAAGUUGAACUUGCGCUCCGGCUAUCACCAAAUCCUCGUCCAAACCGAGGAUAGGUACAAAACAACAUUUUAGACACACCAAGGACAUUAUGAAUGGUUGGUAAUGCCAUUUGGUUUAACAAAUGCCCCGGCCACCGUUCAAGGUUUAAUGAAUGAUGUGUUUCGACUUUUUUUUGCGGAAAUUUGUGUUGGUUUUUUUUUAUGAUAUUCUAGUUUUCAGUGAUUCUUGGCAUACUCACUUAUCUCAUUUAGAACAAGUACUACAAUUGUUACUAAACACAAGGUUG